rnacentral:rRNA from 1 species
AGGUAACACGAAAUCGUACCCCAAACCGACACAGGUGGUCAGGUAGAGAAUACCAAGGCGCUUGAGAGAACUCGGGUGAAGGAACUAGGCAAAAUGGUGCCGUAACUUCGGGAGAAGGCACGCUGAUAUGUAGGUGAAGCGACUUGCUCGUGGAGCUGAAAUCAGUCGAAGAUACCAGCUGGCUGCAACUGUUUAUUAAAAACACAGCACUGUGCAAACACGAAAGUGGACGUAUACGGUGUGACGCCUGCCCGGUGCCGGAAGGUUAAUUGAUGGGGUCAUCCGUAAGGAGAAGCUCUUGAUCGAAGCCCCGGUAAACGGCGGCCGUAACUAUAACGGUCCUAAGGUAGCGAAAUUCCUUGUCGGGUAAGUUCCGACCUGCACGAAUGGCGUAAUGAUGGCCAGGCUGUCUCCACCCGAGACUCAGUGAAAUUGAACUCGCUGUGAAGAUGCAGUGUACCCGCGGCAAGACGGAAAGACCCCGUGAACCUUUACUAUAGCUUGACACUGAACACUGGUCCUUGAUGUGUAGGAUAGGUGGGAGGCUUUGAAGCGUGGACGCCAGUCUGCGUGGAGCCAUCCUUGAAAUACCACCCUUUAAUGGCUGGUGUUCUAACGUGGACCCGUAAUCCGGGUUGCGGACAGUGUCUGGUGGGUAGUUUGACUGGGGCGGUCUCCUCCUAAAGCGUAACGGAGGAGCACGAAGGUCAGCUAAUCCUGGUCGGACAUCAGGAGGUUAGUGCAAUGGCAUAAGCUGGCUUGACUGCGAGCGUGACGGCGCGAGCAGGUGCGAAAGCAGGUCAUAGUGAUCCGGUGGUUCUGAAUGGAAGGGCCAUCGCUCAACGGAUAAAAGGUACUCCGGGGAUAACAGGCUGAUACCGCCCAAGAGUUCAUAUCGACGGCGGUGUUUGGCACCUCGAUGUCGGCUCAUCACAUCCUGGGGCUGAAGUAGGUCCCAAGGGUAUGGCUGUUCGCCAUUUAAAGUGGUACGCGAGCUGGGUUUAGAACGUCGUGAGACAGUUCGGUCCCUAUCUGCCGUGGGCGCUGGAGAAUUGAGGGGGGCUGCUCCUAGUACGAGAGGACCGGAGUGGACGCAUCACUGGUGUUCGGGUUGUCAUGCCAAUGGCACUGCCCGGUAGCUAAAUGCGGAAGAGAUAAGUGCUGAAAGCAUCUAAGCACGAAACUUGCCCCGAGAUGAGUUCUCCCUGAG